AGGGGUGAGGAUAAUGAGAUGGGACACACCCAGAUCCAUUCCGAACCUGGCCGUUAAGCCAACUCAUGCCGAUGGUAGUACACUUAUUGUGUGCAAGAGUAGGUUUCGCCCCUU
rnacentral:rRNA from 1 species